CCUACGGGUGGCAGCAGUGGGGGAUAUUGCACAAUGGGGGAAACCCUGAUGCAGCGACGCCGCGUGAGUGAAGAAGUAUUUCUGUAUGUAAAGCUCUAUCAGCAGGGAAGAAAAUGACAGUACCUGACCACAACUCCCCGGCUAACUCCGUGCCAGCAGCCGCGGGACUACGUAGGGGGCAAGCGUUAUCCGGAUUUACUGGGUGUAAAGGGAGCGUAGUCGGUUAUGUAAGUCUGUAGUGAAAGCCCUGGGCCCAACCCCGGGACUGCUUUGGAAACUGGGUAACUGGAGUACAGGAGGGGCAGGCGGAAUGCAUGGUGUAGCGGUGAAAUGCGUAGAUAUCAGGAGGAACACCGGCGGCGAAGGCGGCCUGCUGGACUGAAACUGACGUUGAGGCUCGAAAGCGUGGGGAGCAAACAGGAUUAGAUACCCCGGUAGUC
rnacentral:rRNA from 1 species